rnacentral:rRNA from 1 species
UGGGGAAUAUUGGACAAUGGGCGAAAGCCUGAUCCAGCCAUGCCGCGUGUGUGAAGAAGGUCUUCGGAUUGUAAAGCACUUUAAGUUGGGAGGAAGGGCAGUAAGCGAAUACCUUGCUGUUUUGACGUUACCGACAGAAUAAGCACCGGCUAACUCUGUGCCAGCAGCCGCGGUAAUACAGAGGGUGCAAGCGGUAAUCGGAAUUACUGGGCGUAAAGCGCGCGAAGGUGGUUCGUUAAGUUGAAUGUGAAAGCCCCGGGCUCAACCUGGGAACUGCAUCCAAAACUGGCAAGCUAGAGUAGGGCAGAGGGUGGUGGAAUUUCCUGUGUAGCGGUGAAAUGCGUAGAUAUAGGAAGGAACACCAGUGGCGAAGGCGACCACCUGGGCUCAUACUGACACUGGGGUGCGAAAGCGUGGGGAGCAAACAGG